rnacentral:misc_RNA from 1 species
UGGGCUUACUUGGACUUGGACUUGGACCAACCAUUGCUAAAAAGUAAGAACUAAUUAAUUAGCUAGCACUCCACUCUUAUAAACCCAUUGAAUUUUUUGUAAUCUUUAGAUGUGGAACUCUUGACAUUAAUAUUGCUUGAUUUCUCACAAACUUUUGUGGUUAAAUGUGAUGCUUCAAAGAUCAAGUCUAUCCUACAACAAAAUAAUAAACCAAUGGUAUACUUUAGCCAAG